CCUACGGGUGGCUGCAGUGGGGAAUAUUGCACAAUGGGGGAAACCCUGAUGCAGCGACGUCGCGUGAGUGAAGAAGUAUUUCGGUAUGUAAAGCUCUAUCAGCAGGGAAGAAAAUGACGGUACCUGAUUAAGAAGCCCCGGCUAACUACGUGCCAGCAGCCGCGGUAAUACGUCGGGGGCAGGCGUUAUCCGGAUUUACUGGGUGUAAAGGGAGCGUAGACGGGAGCACAAGUCUGGAGUGAAAUGCCGGGGCUUAACCCCGGAACUGCUUUGGAAACGGGGCAGCUAGAGUGCAGGAGAGGUAGGUGGAAUUAGUAGGGUAGCGGUGAAAUGCGUAGAUAUGAGGAGGAACUCCAGUGGCGAAGGCAGCUUACUGGACUGUAACUGACGUUGAGGCUCGAGAGCGUGGGGAGCAAACAGGAUUAGAUACCCGAGUAGUC
rnacentral:rRNA from 1 species